rnacentral:lncRNA from 1 species
AGUCAAGGGAGGAAGUUCCUGGAGAAGUAGAAGUACUGCGUGGUUAGCGUCCGGUCACUCUUCAGAGCAGCCUUGUACUUACUACGUUUCAGUGUCUCUCCUUGCAGCUUUUCGUAACUUUAACGAACUAUGCUCCUUUCGUGUCUCAGUUUCUAUAUCUGUUUCGCCAAGCGCCGCUCGGAAGGGUUAAUUCAGGAGCGAGCCCUACUGGAAAAGGCGGCUUUGUGUGGAAGUUUGCACCUGGGAGGUGAGAGCUGGACGGAACGUUAAAGAGCCCUGAAGGCUUAACUCUACGCUUCUGAGGUUAAAAAAGAGAGAGAGAGAAAGAAACGGCUCCAGAAAGAGGCGGAUGACACCCCAGGUUACAUGGCAAAAAAGUGACUAAACUGAGAACUCAGGGCACCAAUCUCCCAGUUUCCCCAUUGAGAUUUCAUCCUGUUACAUUUCCCGGCAUCACCUUGUUCUUGCUUUGAACCCUUGCGACUUUUUUUUUGUAGAUGGAAAAGAUUCUUUUAGUUGGUAUUUGGAGACAUCUAGUGAAAGAAUAUGAAAGCAAAGGUCGAGUCCGCAAGUUCUGGUAGUUCGUGGAAUUAAAAAGUGAGCAUGAUUAGAGUUUACAGCUAAAAAUCCUUGGACUUGGAUCUGAAAUUUGCGAAGGUGCUACAAUUUGAUCAGGAGAGUGGGUAAAAUUAAUACUUGCAUUAUUGUUUUAAUUAUUUGUAGCUCUUUUUACUCUAAACGCUGACAUUUUUUUUUAAGGAAUGAAAAAAUGCGCCUUUAGAUAUUUUGAAAGGAUGUUAUUUCAGUAUAUGAGUUAAUAUAUUCCGUGCAGCAGAAUCUUUAUUUGAAAGCACGCUUAUGGAUAAAGGUUAGUCUUUAGUUCACUUACUGAUUCCAUCUGCUCCAUUACCUAGUCUUGCUUAAGUUCUAAGUGCUUAAAAAACUCAUAAGCAGUUUACAGCUCUGCACUUUGCAGCUGUUCGAUCUUUUCCAAAUUCAACAUAUGCAGAUUUUCAGGUUGGCUAUGUGAAGCUAAGUACCACCAAACAUAAUGUUCUACAACAUGGGAAGUAUUUCUGUAAUAGUUAAUGGACUUUAUUAAGUGGGUUGCUUUAGUUUUCCCAGAGCCACCAUUUCUUUUCCACUAUGAAGGGCGGUUUAUAUAAAAAUAGUAUCUUGGAGUUCCCAUAGUGGCUCCAGGAAUGAAUCUGACUAGCAUCCAUGAAGACUCAGGAUCCCUGGCCUUGCUCACUGGGUUGAGGAUCCAGCAUUGGCACUCACAUCCUGAGUUGCUGUGGCACCACUGGCCUAUGCCAGAGCCACAGCAACGCGGGAUCCGAACCGCGUCUGCAACCUACACCACAGCUCACGGCAACGCCGGAUCGUUAACCCACUGAGCAAGGGCAGGGACCGAACCCGCAACCCCAUGGUUCCUAGUCGGAUUCGUUAACCACUGCGCCACGACUGGAACUCCUGAAUGAUUUCUUUUUUCUUUUUUUUUUUUUGUCUUUUUGCCAUUUCUAGGGCCGCUCCCUCGGCAUAUGGAGGUUUCCAGGCUAGGGGUCUAAUCUGAGCUGUAGCCGCUGGCCUACACCAGAGCCACAGCAACGCCAGAUCCAAGCCGCAUCUGCAACCUACACCACAGCUCAUGGCAACACUGGAUCCUUAACUCACUGAGCAAGGCCAGGAAUCGAACUGCAACCUCAUGGUUCCUAGUUGGAUUUGUUAACCACUGAGCCACGACGGGAACUCCUUGAAUUAUUUCUGAGUUGAAAAUACAUAUAUAUUUAAAAGUUUAAGUCUUAUUUAUUUAUUUAUUUAUUUGGCCAUGCUUGCAGCAUACAGAAGUUCACAGGCCUGGAGCCACAGCAGUGACUGCAAGAUCCUUAACCUACUAGGCUGCCAGGGAACUCUCCAAAUUUUAAAUUUUUAUGUGGAUAGUGAUAAAUAUAUGUAAAAUGUAUAAAGUGAAACUUGAUAAGAUUAUAAAGAAAAAUGUAUGUGGCCAUAUUAGGUGAUUUUAACAAGCCUUUCCCAGUGAUUAAGACAAGCAAAAAAAAAAAAAAAUCAUCAUGGACUUGGAGAAUAGACUUGUGGCUGCCGGACGGGAGAGGGAGGGAGUGGGAGGAAUCGGGAGCUUGGGGUUAUCAGAUACAACUUACAAUAGAUUUACAAGGAGAUCCUGCUGAGUAGCAUUGAGAACUAUGUCUAGAUACUCAUAUUGCAACAGAACAAAGGGUGGAAAAAAAAAUGUAUACAUGUAAGAAUAACUUGAUCCCCAUGCUGUACAGCGGGAAAAAUGAAAUAAAAAUUUUUUAAAAAU